rnacentral:rRNA from 1 species
UACGGGGGGAGCAAGCGUUGUUCGGAUUUACUGGGCGUAAAGGGCUCGUAGGCGGCCAACUAAGUCGGACGUGAAAUCCCUCAGCUUAACUGGGGAACUGCGUCCGAUACUGGAUGGCUUGGAUUUGGGAGAGGGAUGCGGAAUUCCAGGUGUAGCGGUGAAAUGCGUAGAUAGUCUGGAGGAACACCGGUGGCGAAGGCGGCAUCCUGGACCAAUAUUGACGCUGAGGAGCGAAAGCCAGGGGAGCCAAAGCGGG